AAGGUUUUGUUGCCUUGCUCUGAUACCAACGCUGAUGCCAGACAACAGAAAAAGAAAGAAAGAGAGAAAGAGAGAAGGAGAGAAGAGGAAGAAGAGAGAGAGAGAAGAAGAAAUAGAGGAGAGAGGAGGGAGGAGGAAGAAAGAACUAGGCUUCGCAUCUAGCUCUGCUUAGGGUUUCACAAGCCAGAGCUAAAGCAAGGAAUUCAAAAAUUUUAUUCAUAGCAUGACCCUAAACGAUGUACGGUCCAACAUAUUUAUAAGACCCAGAAAAUGUUAAAGACCCCUAAAAAGAAACUAAUUUCACAAAAGUUCCUCAAAAUAACGAAAUACCUAAAUAAGCCCUAAAGGCUGUCAAAUAACAAAAUACCUUAAUAAGCCCAAAUAACAUAAAAUCACUCCAAAAUAAAAUUAAACUAGCCGGACCAUCCUCCUGCGGCGACCAUAGAUCCGAGUGACGGAUGACCUGGCACUAGUGUCCGCACCACUAAAUAUAGUUGACAAACAAUCAUAUCCUUCACGAAC
rnacentral:lncRNA from 1 species